rnacentral:tRNA from 1 species
GGGUGUAUAGCUCAGUUGGUAGAGUGAUGGUCUCCAAAACCAUAUGUCAUCGGUUCGAUUCCGAUUGCGCCUG